rnacentral:rRNA from 1 species
UACGUAGGGUGCAAGCGUUGUCCGGAAUUAUUGGGCGUAAAGAGCUCGUAGGCGGUUUGUUGCGUCGGCUGUGAAAUCCCGAGGCUCAACCUCGGGUCUGCAGUCGAUACGAGCAAACUAGAGUGUUGCAGGGGAGACUGGAAUUCCUGGUGUAGCGGUGAAAUGCGCAGAUAUCAGGAGGGAACACCCGGGUGGCGAAAGGGCGGGGUCUCUGGGGCAACAACUGACGCUGGAGGAGCGAAAGCGUGGGGAGCGAACAGG